GCUUAGUUGGUAAAGCACAAAGCCCUUAACCUUGUGGAAAUGGGUUCAAGCCCCAU
rnacentral:tRNA from 1 species